rnacentral:rRNA from 1 species
UAAGACGUAGGGGGCGAGCGUUAUCCGGAUUCACUGGGCGUAAAGGGCGCGUAGGCGGUACGAAAGUCGGAUGUGAAAAGUCACGGCUCAACUGUGAUCGUGCAUCCGAUACUUCGUUGACUUGAGGUCGGUAGAGGCAAGUGGAACUAGCGGUGUAGCGGUGAAAUGCGCAGAUAUCGCUAGGAACGCCGGUGGCGAAGGCGACUUGCUGGGCCGUACCUGACGCUGAUGCGCGAAAGCUAGGGGAGCGAACCGGA